rnacentral:rRNA from 1 species
GCAAGUUGAGCGGUAAGGCCCCUUCGGGGGUACACGAGCAGCGAACGGGUGAGUAUCGCGUGGGUAAUCUACCUAGAGGUGGGGGAUAGCCUCGGGAAACCGAGGGUAAUACCGCAUAUGUCUAUAACGACGAGAGUCGACUUGGGCAAAGGCGGGGCUCCUUCGGGACCUGUCGCCACUAGAUGAGCCCGCGUCCGAUUAGCUUGUUGGUGAGGUAAUGGCUCACCAAGGCGACGAUCGGUAGCCGGCCUGAGAGGGUGAAC